AUUGAACGCUGGCGGCAUGCCUUACACAUGCAAGUCGAACGGUAACAGGUUAAGCUGCCGAGUGGCGAACGGGUGAGUAAUGUAUCGGAACGUGCCCAGUCGUGGGGGAUAACUGCUCGAAAGAGCAGCUAAUACCGCAUACGACCUGAGGGUGAAAGCGGGGGAUCGCAAGACCUCGCGCGAUUGGAGCGGCCGAUAUCAGAUUAGGUAGUUGGUGAGGUAAAGGCUCACCAAGCCGACGAUCUGUAGCUGGUCUGAGAGGACGACCAGCCACACUGGGACUGAGACACGGCCCAGACUCCUACGGGAGGCAGCAGUGGGGAAUUUUGGACAAAGGGCGCAAGCCUGAUCCAGCCAUGCCGCGUGCGGGAAGAAGGCCUUCGGGUUGUAAACCGCUUUUGUCAGGGAAGAAAAGGUUCUGGCUAAUACCUGGGACUCAUGACGGUACCUGAAGAAUAAGCACCGGCUAACUACGUG
rnacentral:rRNA from 1 species